ACGCACGCUAGCGGCGUGCUUCACCCAUGCAAGUCGCACGGAAAGGCCCUGCUUUUGUGGGGUGCUCGAGUGGCGAACGGGUGAGUAACACGUGAGUAACCUGCCCUUGACUUUGGGAUAACUUCAGGAAACUGGGGCUAAUACCGGAUAGGAGCUCCUGCUGCAUGGUGGGGGUUGGAAAGUUUCGGCGGUUGGGGAUGGACUCGCGGCUUAUCAGCUUGUUGGUGGGGUAGUGGCUUACCAAGGCUUUGACGGGUAGCCGGCCUGAGAGGGUGACCGGCCACAUUGGGACUGAGAUACGGCCCAGACUCCUACGGGAGGCAGCAGUGGGGAAUAUUGCACAAUGGGCGGAAGCCUGAUGCAGCAACGCCGCGUGCGGGAUGACGGCCUUCGGGUUGUAAACCGCUUUCGCCUGUGACGAAGCGUGAGUGACGGUAAUGGGUAAAGAAGCACCGGCUAACUACGUG
rnacentral:rRNA from 1 species